AGAGUUUGAUCCUGGCUCAGAUUGAACGCUGGCGGCAUGCCUUACACAUGCAAGUCGAACGGCAGCACGGGGGCAACCCUGGUGGCGAGUGGCGAACGGGUGAGUAAUACAUCGGAACGUGUCCUGUAGUGGGGGAUAGCCCGGCGAAAGCCGGAUUAAUACCGCAUACGAUCUACGGAAGAAAGCGGGGGAUCCUUCGGGACCUCGCGCUAUAGGGGCGGCCGAUGGCAGAUUAGCUAGUUGGUGGGGUAAAGGCCUACCAAGGCGACGAUCUGUAGCUGGUCUGAGAGGACGACCAGCCACACUGGGACUGAGACACGGCCCAGACUCCUACGGGAGGCAGCAGUGGGGAAUUUUGGACAAUGGGGGAAACCCUGAUCCAGCAAUGCCGCGUGUGUGAAGAAGGCCUUCGGGUUGUAAAGCACUUU
rnacentral:rRNA from 1 species